GCAGAUUGAAAAGUCGUGCCUGGUGUUAAAAAUUAAGCUGUUACGCCGUUAUCGACACCUGUUCUUGUGACAAUGUGAGUAAAGGGGCCUAGGUAGCACUGACCACCCAGCUUAACUCCCAGCUCCUUUGUGUCGGUGUAGCCCGGCCUGGAAAACAGUGUGGACGUGCUUCCUGCUAGGAGCUAGAUCUCUAGUCUCCACCCGAAAUGGGCCUCCUGCCUCCAGACUGACUCCUGAGCCAUCUUCCCGCUUUCCCUGGCACCGAAGGCCCACGGGGUUCUCGCAUUUGCCCAGCUUUUUAAUGGGCCCUUUAUCAGCUGCAGACCGCCUCGACGAAACGGAAUGAAAUCUGGUCCCCAAGGACCAAGGCCGGAGUCUAGGGCCCGACGUAAGCCCAGUAGGAAGCGGCGCAGUUCAGACACCCAGAGCCGGCGACUUGUCUGCACUUCAGGCCACCCGGCGCAUCGCUGGGUCUGGAAUCCCACGUUGCAUCCACCGCGCGGGAUUCCAAACAGCCAAUAGAAACAAUCCCCUCACCCCACCACACCCGGGAAGGUGGCGGGACCCAGGCUUCCGAGCAAGGUCCCAGGAUUGUCCGUCAGGGUCCGGACGGCACGGCCUGCACCCGCCUCUCGCCCGGAUAUUCUUUUACAGCCGCGCCAUCCAAGGGAAGGUUUCUGGCCAUAACGCUGCAGCACAGAGUUGGGUGGGCACCAUACAUGGCCGUGGCGCCUGCGGCCCCAGCUCGCGGCCUCGGGCUCGCUCUCAGGGCCCCAUCCUUCUGGUGCGCGGGGCUCUGGAGCCAGAAAGUGUACACAGGCCAUAAAUUUCCAGCCCCGCUCGGAGCAGCUCUCAGAGGUCAGGGGCCGCCCGCCUGCAACCGCCUCUGUGCGCCUGCCCCUUAACUUGCGUCCGGGUAACUGUGGUCGGCAGCAAAGCGCAGCUGGUGCCCUCUGCAGCGCCCAGCCAGACUUCAACGCCACCUCCUCGCCGCUGCUAGACUACCCUAGCAGCGUCGGGACUCUGGGCAGUUUUCGGGAGGCUCCCCACCGCUGCCCACGAGGCGGGAGUUGCGGAAUCAAGCAAAGCGGGAAGAAGGCGAGGCCUGGGGGAGGCCAGAGGAUUACCGCAGACGGCCAGUUCGGAGAUUGGAGUAAGAAACGCGGAUUUCUGUCGGGGGCUCCGCCACGCCCCUUACCCACCAAGCACCUUGAUCAAAUUAUCCAAUCCCUCUGCUUCUCAAAAUAGCCUUCUAUAAGUGAGGAAGAAUAAUGUCUUCGGGCCUGAGUCGCUGUGAUGGUUACAUGAGAUACAAAACUUUCACCUCUUGUCCAAGAGUGGCAAAGACUUGACUGUCUUUCCUCCAUUCCUUACUUGCACACACCCAUAGGUGAUUUCAAACGAGUAAAGACGCUCUCUCCAGCCAGAAUGAACUAGCAGUGUCAUCGUGGAAAUUGUUUAAUAAAAAUUUUCACUUAAUGCGUGCUUUCUGUUUG
rnacentral:lncRNA from 13 species